UUCAUCUUUCUGAGUAAGUUCGCAGUUUGCUCAUCCAUCCUUACGCUAACGACGACGAUCCUUGUAUGUUAAAGCUCCUUUCUCUCUUUAUCUUUCCGAGUAAGUUCGCAGCUUGCUCUUCCAUCUUUACGCUAACGACGACGAUCCUCGUCUGCAGAAGCAUCUUUAUCCGAUCCUUUAUCUAUCCGAGUAAGAUCGCAGAUUGCUACCUCUUUCAUCCUUACGCUAACGACUAGCAGAGAUCAUACGCAAAAAAUAUCUUUAUGUGGUUCUUCUUCGGGUAGCAACAUCGUUGGGGAUGCAGAAGCUGUUCCUGCAGCUAAUGAUGGCGGUUGUGGCGGAGUCAACAUUCGGCUAUACGAAGGACACGAGACAGAUUAUAUUACCUCGCUGAUUCAAGAUUCAGUUAAGUUGGAAACUCGUGAUAUCCAUACGCUCCUUACUAAUCAUGAGAUGCCGAUAUUACCCGUGAUACCACACCGUCCUCAGCCACCGGCGUUGUUUAUGGUGCCUAACCAGCUUGUUCUUGAUGGUAUUGCGGAUGGCUACAUUUGGCGGAAACGACAAAACGUACGACUCAUGAUUAAUGGUGUGAACGUCAUCAAAUGCUCUGUUUCAUGAGAACACUACAGAAUUCGACCGGAAAAUGUUUCAUAGGAUAUAUAGUCUUAUUAAUGGCCAGGGAGAUCAGUACUGUCUCGUUCAUUACCAUCAUCGUCUAAUCGACCGCCUGAACAACAAAUAAACGAUAACAACUUUGGGAGAAGAAAAUCACAUCACAGCUUCUUGAUUUUUUCUCUCUCUCUCUCUUGGGAUCAAUUAGUACUUUAAAAAAAAAAAUUAGUACUUUUCUUUUCUUGUCUGACGAUUACUUUGUCAAUAUGCUUACUUAUAUUCUGGUUUGUUGUAAUAAGUCUAUGAUCUGUUUCCUCA